rnacentral:sRNA from 1 species
UAGCAGCUCACUCUUCAGUGCUUUAAGCAAAUGAUCCUCAGGAAAGAAAAGGUAUUUGCUUAUUGCAGGUGCAAAGAGGCUCAGAUUGGAACUUUUCCCUGAAGCUGUAUUGUAGCCCAGAGUUCCUGAUGUAAGAUGCUUUAUUUAAAGACAUCCGUGAGCUUUUUCACUGGCAUAUCAAUACUUCAUAACACUAGGAAGGUUGAAGAUUAUUCUCUCUUCUAAAGAAAAUAGAAGAAUAUUAGGAGAAAAUACACUUUAAAAUGUUCACUCUUUUAUUCACAUUACAUCAUCUGUCUUGAAUAAUGGGUCUAUCUCUUUCCUGUUGCUCUGGCCCUGAGAAAAAAAUUAGCUUUUUAAGGCUGCUUUUGUUACGUAUGCAUUUUCUUGUAAUCCCGUCAUUCUGGGAUUUAAUAACAAUAGUAUUAAUACCACCUACCAUUUGUUGGUUACUUACUGUGUUUUAGGCACUGUGCUAAACGCCUUCCAUGUAUUCAUCUCAUUAGUAAACAUUUCUGAAACUAUUCUUAC